rnacentral:rRNA from 1 species
GAUGAACGCUGGCGGCGUGCCUAAUACAUGCAAGUCGAGCGAACGGACGAGAAGCUUGCUUUUCUGAUGUUAGCGGCGGACGGGUGAGUAACCCGUGGAUAACCUACCUAUAAGACUGGGAUAACUUCGGGAAACCGGAGCUAAUACCGGAUAAUAUUUUGAACCGCAUGGUUCACAAGUGAAAGACGGUCUUGCUGUCACUUAUAGAUAGAUCCGCGCUGCAUUAGCUAGUUGGUAAGGUAACGGCUUACCAAGGCAACGAUGCAUAGCCGACCUGAGAGGGUGAUCGGCCACACUGGAACUGAGACACGGUCCAGACUCCUACGGGAGGCAGCAGUAGGGAAUCUUCCGCAAUGGGCGAAAGCCUGACGGAGCAACGCCGCGUGAGUGAUGAAGGUCUUCGGAUCGUAAAACUCUGUUAUUAGGGAAGAACAGAUGUGUAAGUAACUGUGCACAUCUUGACGGUACCUAAUCAGAAAGCAACGGCUAACUACGUG